rnacentral:rRNA from 1 species
GAAUAUUGGGCAAUGGACGAGAGUCUGACCCAGCCAUGCCGCGUGCAGGAAGACGGCCUUCUGGGUUGUAAACUGCUUUUAUCUGGGAAGAAAACGUCUCUGCGGAGAUAACUGACGGUACCAGAUGAAUAAGCACCGGCUAACUCCGUGCCAGCAGCCGCGGUAAUACGGAGGGUGCAAGCGUUGUCCGGAUUUAUUGGGUUUAAAGGGUGCGUAGGCGGCCCGUUAAGUCAGCGGUGAAAUCCCACGGCUCAACCGUGGAACUGCCGUUGAUACUGGCGGGCUUGAGUUCGGUCGAGGCGGGCGGAACUGGCGGUGUAGCGGUGAAAUGCAUAGAUACCGCCAAGAACCCCGAUUGCGUAGGCAGCUCGCUGGGCCGAAACUGACGCUGAGGCACGAAAGCGUGGGGAGCGAACAGG